AAGAUUUUGAACGUUUUGGAGUUUAAUAGUACAAGAAAAAGGAUGUCUGUCAUUGUAAAGGAUGAGGACGGAAAGAUCUUGUUACUCUCCAAAGGUGCUGACAGUAUCAUGUUUGAAAGACUCAGCAAGAGUGGUAGAAGGUUUGAACAAGAAACAAGGGAUCAUGUGAAUGAGUAUGCUGAUGCGGGUUUGAGGACCUUGAUACUGGCUUAUCG
rnacentral:misc_RNA from 1 species